rnacentral:lncRNA from 1 species
AAGGUUAAACUCUGCGAGUUCAACGCACACAUCACAAAGUAGUUUCUGAGAAUGAUUCUGCCUAGUUUUUUUACGAAGAUAUUUCCUUUUCUACCCUUGGCCUCAAAGCACUUGAAAACUCCAACUGCAAAUCCUACAAAAAGAUUGUAACAUUGGCCUCAAAGGGCUUGAAAUCUCCACCUGCAAAUUCCACAAAAAGAGUGUUUCAAAUCUGCUCUGUCUAAAGGAACGUUCAACUCUGUGAGUGGAAUACACACAACACAAAGAAGUUACUGAGAAUUCUUCUGUCUAGCAUUAUAUGAAGAAAUCCCGUUUCCAACGAAGGCCUCCAAGAGGUCCAAAUAUCCUCUUGCAGACUUUACAAACAGAGUGUUUCCAAACUGCUCUAUGAAAAGAAAGGUUAAACUCUGUGAGUUGAACGCACACAUCACAAAGCAGUUUCUGAGAAUGAUUCUGUCUAGUUUUUAUACGAAGAUAUUUCCUUUUCUACCAUUGGCCUCAAAGCGCUUUAAAUCUCCA